GUGCUUAGGCAGCACAUAUAUUAAAAUUGGAAUGCUACAAAUAAGAUUAGCAUGGCCCCUGUGCAAAGAUGACACACGAACUUGUGAAACAUUCCAUACUUUU